rnacentral:rRNA from 1 species
CUACGGGAUGCUCCAGUUAGGAAUAAUCUACAAUGCGCGCAAGCGUGAUAGUUUGAGCCAGAGUGCUUUUCAAUAGAAAAGCUUUUGCCAAAUCUAAAAAUUUUGGCGAAUAAGGACUGGGUAAGACGAGUGCCAGCCGCCGCGGUAAUACUCGCGGUCCAAGUCGCAGCCAUUUUUAUUGGGUCUAAAACAUCCGUAGCUUGCUUUGUAAGUUUCUUGUAAAAUUUUAUGUCUUGAGCAUGAAGCGUGCAAGAAGUACUGCAGAGCUAGAGACUGGAAGAAGUGAGAAGUAUGUUUGAAGUAGCGGUAAAAUGUGUUAAUCUCAGACAGACUAUCGAGAGCGAAGGCAUCUCACUAGGACAGUUCUGACAGUAAGGGAUGAAGGCUAGGGGCGCAAAACGGAUUAGAUACCCGAGUAGUC